AACGCACAUUGCGCCCGCCAGCAUCCUGGCGGGCAUGCCUGUUCGAGCGUCAUUUCGACCAUCAAGCCCUGGGGGGGGCUUGUGUUGGGGACCUGCGGCUGCCCGCAGGCCCUGAAAACCAGUGGCGGGCCCGCUGGCACCCCCGAGCGCAGUAGUCUCUGUCUCGCUCAGGGCGUGCCGCGGGGUCAUUCCCGGCCGUUAAACAGCGACCUUGGCAAGGUUGACCUCGGAUCAGGUAGGAGGACCCGCUGAACUUAA
rnacentral:misc_RNA from 1 species